rnacentral:lncRNA from 13 species
AUAGACCAGAGCCCUAUUCCCUAUAUAGUGCACUACUAUAGACCAGGGCCCAAUUCCCUAUAUAGUGCACUACUAUAGACCAGAGCCCUAUUCACUAUAUAGUACACUACUUUAGACCAGAGCCCUAUAUAGUGCACUACUUCUGACCAGAGCCCUAUUCCCUAUAUAGUGCACUACUAUAGACCAGAGCCCUAUUCCCUAUAUAGAACACUACUAUAGACCAGAACCCUAUUCCCUAUAUAGUGCACUACUAUAGACCAGGGCCCAAUUCCCUAUAUAGUGCACUACUAUACAGGGCCCAUAGGGAAUCGGGUGCCAUUUGGGAUAAUUGCUGAAUCUAAACUCUCCGGAAGAUUCUAUUCUUUCAAGUCUAUUCUUUCAAAAGACUAACUAUUAAAAUUAUUUCCACCAGCUUCCCUUCUCCUCAAAUUACAGUCUGGAGCAGUGGUUACUACCCUGUUAAACACUGUGACAGUUUAUUACUGGUUACUACCCUGUUAAACACUGACAGUUUAUUACUGGUUACUACCCUGUUAAACACCGUGACAGUUUAUUACUGGUUACUACCCUGUUAAACACUGACAGUUUAACUGAACAGACAUUUAUAAACGUAACAUGUAAAGUGUUGCUCCCAUUUUUCAUGAGCUGAACUAAAACAUCACAAAGCUGAUUUCUCUCAAAUUGUAUAAAAAUCCAUCCACCUGACAGGUGUGGCAUAUCAAGAAGCUUAUUAAACAGCAGGAUCAUUACACAGGUGCGCCUUGUGCUGGGGGACAAUAAUAAAAACGGCCACUAAAAUGUGCAGUCGUGUCAAACACAACGCCACAGGCGUCUCAAGUUGAGGGAGCGUGCAAUUCGCACGUUGACUACAGGAAUGUCAACUAGAGCAGUUGCCAGAGAAUUGAAUGUUCAUUUCUCUACCAUAAACCACCUCCAAUGUCAUUUUAGAUAAUUUUUUACAUCCAACCAGCCUCAUAACCGCAGACCAUACGUAUGACGCUGUGUGGGCGAGCGGUUUGCUGAUGUCAACGCUGUGAACAGAGGGCCCAAUGCUGGCGGGUUGGGGUUAUGGUAUAGGCAGGCAUAAGCUACGGACAAUGAAAACAAUGGCAAUUUGAACGCACGAAAAUACCCGAUCGAGAUCCUGAUGCCCAUUGUGAGGCAUCUUUUGACCAACAGGUGUCACUGUUUUCCCAGUCGUGUGAAAUCCAUGAAUUCCAUCCAUCUAUGGAAUUUAUUUUAAUUGACUGAUGAAUUGUAACUCAAUAAAAUCAAUGAAAUGAUUGCAUGUUGGGUUUAUAUUUUUGUUCAGUAUAUUUAAUAGUGAUGACCUCCAUCUCAUCUGAUUCAAACUGCAAAACAAAUAGAUAUUUUCUGUGACAAACAUUAAAAUAGGGUUUAUUAACCUAAUUCAUGAUGAUUAAUGUGUGUACCCCAUAU